rnacentral:rRNA from 1 species
UACAGAGGUCUCAAGCGUUGUUCGGAUUCAUUGGGCGUAAAGGGUGCGUAGGUGGUGCUGUAAGUCAGGUGUGAAAUCUCGGGGCUCAACCCCGAAACUGCACUUGAUACUGCAGUGCUCGAGGACUGGAGAGGAGAUUGGAAUUCAUGGUGUAGCAGUGAAAUGCGUAGAUAUCAUGAGGAAGACCAGUGGCGAAGGCGGAUCUCUGGACAGUUCCUGACGCUGAGGCACGAAGGUCAGGGGAGCAAACGGG